CCUACGGGCGGCUGCAGUGGGGAAUAUUGCACAAUGGGCGCAAGCCUGAUGCAGCCAUGCCGCGUGUGUGAAGAAGGCCUUCGGGUUGUAAAGCACUUUCAGCGGGGAGGAAGGCGGUGAGGUUAAUAACCUCAUCGAUUGACGUUACCCGCAGAAGAAGCACCGGCUAACUCCGCGCCAGCAGCCGCGGUAAUACGGAGGGUGCAAGCGUUAAUCGGAAUUACUGGGCGUAAAGCGCACGCAGGCGGUCUGUCAAGUCGGAUGUGAAAUCCCCGGGCUCAACCUGGGAACUGCAUUCGAAACUGGCAGGCUAGAGUCUUGUAGAGGGGGGUAGAAUUCCAGGUGUAGCGGUGAAAUGCGUAGAGAUCUGGAGGAAUACCGGUGGCGAAGGCGGCCCCCUGGACAAAGACUGACGCUCAGGUGCGAAAGCGUGGGGAGCAAACAGGAUUAGAUACCCGUGUAGUC
rnacentral:rRNA from 1 species